GGGGAUUUAGCUCAGUGGUAGAGCACUUGCCUAGCAAGCGAAAGGCCCUGGGUUCGGUCCUCAGCUCCG
rnacentral:tRNA from 1 species